UACGGGGGGGGCAAGCGUUGUUCGGAAUUACUGGGCGUAAAGGCGCGUAGGCGGCCAUCUAAGUCAGACGUGAAAUCCCCCGGCUUAACCUGGGAACUGCGUCUGAUACUGGAAGGCUUGAGUAUGGGAGAGGGAUGUAGAAUUCCAGGUGUAGCGGUGAAAUGCGUAGAUAUCUGGAGGAAUACCGGUGGCGAAGGCGGCAUCCUGGACCAUUACUGACGCUGAGGCGCGAAAGCUAGGGGAGCAAACGGG
rnacentral:rRNA from 1 species